rnacentral:rRNA from 1 species
UGUAGAUCCGGUGCAUGGGGAGCGGUAAGUCGGGGGUGUCAGUGGUUAGUCGGAUUUAAUGGGCGGAAAGCGGGGGCAGGCGGCUUAUUAAGUCAUAUGUGAAAGCCCUAGGCUCAACCUAGGAACUGCAUUUGAAACUAAUAAACUAGAGUAUCGUAGAGGGAGGUAGAAUUCCAGGUGUAGCGGUGAAAUGCGUAGAUAUCUGGAGGAAUACCAGUGGCGAAGGCGACCUCCUGGACGAAAACUGACGCUCAAGCACGAAAGCAUGGGGAGCAAACAGGAUUAGAUACCCGUGUCGUC